GCUUCUGUAGUCUAAUGGUAAGACAUCUCUCUGGUUGGAUCCAUUCGUAAGCAUCUUCAUGGAGAAAUCGAGGGUUCGAAUCCCUCCGGAAGCA